ACCAGCCUGAGCAACAUGGAGAAAGCCCAUCUCUACAAAAAAAUACAAAAAAAAAAAUUAGCUGGGCAUGGUAGCAGAGGCCUGUAGUCCCAGUUACUCUGGAAGCUGAAGUAGGAGAAUCACCUGAGCCCAGAAAGUCAAUACUGCAGUGAGCCCAGAUCAUGCCACUGCACUCCAGCCUGUGCAACACGCGUGAGACCCUGUCUCCAAAAUAAAUAAAUUAAUUAAUUAAAAAAUAAAAAACUUAGUUGUCAACCUUAGGUUACCAAUUUUUGCUAUGAGAAUGGCUGAAGCUACACAACCACAAUUUUGAUCAAACCAACUGACCUUUCUGAUAGUGUCCAUAGCAAAGCUACAAAGUCUUGGUGUUUCUUGGAAUGAUGUGGUAUAGCAGGCCUUAUGGAUCAACUGAAGGAAAGCUAAGUUCAGUGUGAUAUUUGAAACCGUUCUCUCUUUGUGCAUCUUGGCACUGCCUAUGUUUUUUCAUUUUAUUGUUGCUGCUGUUUUUAAAUCCGUGUUUCUAUACUGUCUUUUCCUGCAAUUAAGAUUAAGGUAGCCAGGCGG
rnacentral:lncRNA from 1 species